GGAGCGCCGAAAAUUCAGUCCCUGACAUUUUCAUCCUAGACGGGAAUCGAACCAGGAACCUUUGUGUUAGUAGUCCGAUGCACUAACCACUACACCACGGCGGUUAUAUACGUUUAACAUAGAAAAUUUAUCUCACGAAUGUGUACAACUGCACGUCUGUGCGCUUUAUUGUCUUAUUAUCGGAUGGUUAUUAGAUAUAUCAUUAGAUCGGCCGCUUAAGAUUACGUUAAAAUAUGAUUUAAAACCAAACUUUUAAUGGUUUCCAUUUUAAAUCCUGG
rnacentral:lncRNA from 1 species